AACUACACGAGAUUGUUACAGGCUUAAUAAUCAGUGAGUCAAGCACCUGACUGACAAACAGACUCUGCUGUUUGCCACAUGAUGUCAGUUAUACCGACCUCCAAGUCUGUCUCCAUCCUCCUGUCUCAGGAUAUCCGCCCUCUCCUCCAGGAUCUGCUGCAGCGCUGCCUGCAGUUUACUGGAUCCACUAUGAGCACCUGGGGAGCGAGAAGAGAGAAUGACAGUUACUGACUGAGCUGAGUUCACUAUUUCGUAAUCACAGGAAGCUCCAGCAGCUGUGGCAGGCAGGGUGCCAGCACCCCGAUGAGGAACGGGGUUGGGGAGCAGCUGAUGUCCAACAUACUGGCCGGUAACACAGGCACAAACGUGUGCUGCCACGUGAACGGGUACAGCAGCGCCAGCACCGCGUGGCUACACCGGGACAGCACGCUGCAGUGAACAGGAGAGAGAAGAUCAGUUCUCACACUGAGGAUCACAUGAAAUCAGUCAUAGCGCCCUGAAAAUAGGUGUCUCACCACCUCAAACACAUUUUCAACUGGAGGAGCAUUCAGCAAACUGUAGUAGAGUGUAGAAGAAAUCUCCCAAAACACAACUGAUCGCUGCUAGCCCUCCAUUAAUGCAGUAUUUAUCUCUGGUGAUGCCCUGACUCAGUUUGCGGUCAGAUGUCAACACGCUUUGAAACACUUCCUCCACUUCCUUUCAAAUGGUCAAUUUCCACAGAGAAGCUUUUCUCUUCUUGGGAAGACACUCAGCCAAGCUCAGCACUUUCUUUGUACAAAGCACACUCGUCUCCAUUUCAUCUUAUCUGUUCCAUAGAAAAGGCGACUGGUCCUUCAUCAUUGUUCUUAAAGGUUGUGAAUACUCAGUUUCCAACAGCUGUUAUAAUACUCUGCUCUAAAUCCAGUUUUUUUUUUAAAAAUUAUUUUAAACCAUUUUCUCAUCUACAGUUUCUCUCCAAAAUCCGAUAACAUUUCAUAUACAAUCAACUCCUAGAUUACUGUUUUUCUAAUAUUGAUUUUGAUCUCUUUCAAUCAGUUUUUGAUGAUAUUGUGGGAGAACCUGUCGUACCAAGCUGCUGACUCCAUCGCAACAUUUCAAUUUGUGAUGUAGAGACAGUGUUUAUCGUCAAUAAUCAUAAUAGAUCAUAAUACUGUAUCAUUAACAUUGUAAUUGCUGAGGACCCCUAUCGUCAGAUGACUAAUAGUAGUUGGGGGCACCAGCCAUUAUUCUGAUGCUCACAGUGUAGACAGCGGAUAUCCGGGCCACUUUCAGCUUAUUUUAUGACACACAAACAGCAAUAUUUUUUGUAGAUGUUUUAGGUUCAGAUGACAAUUUGGCUAAUCUCAAUGUAAUUGGUCAAACUAGAAAUGGAAACCAGAGGCUUCCAUCUCCAAAACCUUGUCCCUCGCUUACAGAUUGUAUAGAGCCAGUUUAUAGAGUUAAGUUAAAUAAUUACCCAAAUAUAAUAACUAUAUAGCACAGAUAGAGUAGGUUAGCUUUACUCACUGCCAAAAGAUUGUUCUGACCCAUUGUUUUUGUAAUUAUUUUAUUUAUUACAUCUUAUUAUUAUUAUAAACCUAAACUAAAGUGGCUAUUUUGACCCAGUGUCAGAUACACUAAGCUCUAGUUUAUAUCUUGAAACUGGCAAAAAUAAAUCAUGUGCAUGACAUUCAAAACUGGAAAGGAUACUCAUUAACAAUCACUAAGUUAAAGUUUUAAAAGAGUGAGGGUUUAUUUGAUUUUACUGUGAUUUAAUUCCAACAAAUUGUCUUGGUUGUUUUCUGCUAAUUGGUACUGGUUUAAUAUUGUGUUGGUGCAAAGUGGGUCAAUUGUGAUGCUGUGCUUUUGUGUGUGUGUGUGGUUUUAUUAUUGUUGUUGUGAUAUCUUUUAUCUAGUAAUAAUGUAAAAUGUAUUGUUGUGUCCCUGUCAAGCCCACUGAGACACUGUAAGCGAUACUGGCUCGUUUAAAUAAACCUGACUCGAUCUGCUGUUGGGACUCAGCCACAACUGAAGCAGCCCACUGAGGCCAAAGUACGCAGAGAUAAUUAAAACUGGCCCUGGGCCUGUGGGAUAUCAGUAAGUCUCGACUACAGCUGCCAUAUGGUGUCUUUUUUAAUUGCCUUGCUUAAUAUAAUCCUUAUAAACAGUGGAGGUGAAGUGGCCCUGCAGUGUUGAGUGUGUGAUUUAAUGACAGCAGUACCUGAGCUUGUCGGCGAUGAAGAUGACUCUCCUCUCGAGCAGCAAGGAGGCAAACACCUGCAGGAGCCUUCCCACACUGAGACACUGCAGCAGACUGUCAAAGUCCACGUGCUCUAAUCUGGAGUCCACCGGCCGACACAGAGUGAGCACCUGGCAAAGCAACAAGAGCAUGUAGCCUGAGACUGUACAGUGUGGAGACAGUAAGCUGUUAGAAACGGUAUAAAAAUACCCAUAUAGGAAGACUGUGGGCUGCUGCAAGGGGGAAUUUAGAAACCUAAGCUCAGGCUUUAGUUUAAGGAGCCACCUAGAAGAAAGUAGGUAUUUUGCAGCAUUUUCUCUGAAUUACCUGACGUAAUUUGAGUCUCUAAACAGGAAUGACCACAAUGAAUACUGUUAACUGUUGUAAACACAGAGCUGUCCUGACAUGACGCCCUUCAAAGCUGAAAUAGCUAUCCCCAUUGUUUACAUAGAUAACCUCCCAUUCUGAGUCACUCUGAGUCUGCAGAGAGGAGUGGUUAGAGGGGGGAAAAAAACUACCAAUUAACAUUUCCUCUUUUGGUUUCAGGGUUACCUCAUUCCCAGUGCCGGGGACGAAGGUUUUGACGGUGACUGUGCGUCCGGGGGCUGGAAACGGGGCCUCCAUCACGCUACGCAUAAAAGGAUAAACCAGCGCUGGGGAAAUCUCCCGGCGCCUUUCCACCUCCUCCAGUAUCUGUG